UACGGUAGAAGGGAUUCGAACCCUUAUAAAAUAUGUCCUAAGCAUAUCACGUAUACCCAUUCCGUCACUACCAU
rnacentral:tRNA from 1 species